rnacentral:rRNA from 2 species
CAAAUCAUCAUGCCCCUUAUGAUUUGGGCUACACACGUGCUACAAUGGACAAUACAAAGGGCAGCGAAACCGCGAGGUCAAGCAAAUCCCAUAAAGUUGUUCUCAGUUCGGAUUGUAGUCUGCAACUCGACUACAUGAAGCUGGAAUCGCUAGUAAUCGUAGAUCAGCAUGCUACGGUGAAUACGUUCCCGGGUCUUGUACACACCGCCCGUCACACCACGAGAGUUUGUAACACCCGAAGCCGGUGGAGUAACCUUUUAGGAGCUAGCCGUCGAAGGUGGGACAAAUGAUUGGGGUGAAGUCGUAACAAGGUAGCCGUAUCGGAAGGUGCGGCUGGAUCACCUCCUUUCUAAGGA